CCAGCCAUGCACAGCACACAGAAGUGCAGCCAAUGCACCUUACAGAUCUUAUCUAUGAGAACACGUCAUGAUAAUAAUUAAUGCAGGACAGCAGUGUGCCAACCAGCACUACCCAAAUCAUCUCCAGCCAUGCCACACACUACACGGACACUGAUCUGAUGCAGCCUUAAAUUGACAAGCAGCCCACAGAUUCCUUCUUAUGCUGUUCUUCCCUGCCACUGUUUCCUUGGCUUGCAAUUUAGGAGCCAUACCAAGUUCCCGUAAUGCUGCUUCAAGACUAAAUUGUUAAAAAUGUCAUAUAAAUAAAAUAAAUAACAAAAUAAGAAUAAAUUGAAUUAAACAAAAGGAAUAAUCCAUAUUAAAAAAAAAUCAACCGAGUUAGAGUUAGUACUGAUAGUCAAUACUGACAAAACAAAAUGUUUUUUUGAUUACAAAGAAAUACAAUCAAGUUUUUACCACAUACCAUUUUUUUAAAUUUGUUUUUUGUUUUUCCAUAAUGAACUAUGAAGCAAUUCACAAUGCUAAUAGUUCCCAAAAACACCAAUGCAUCAGCUGAGCUGAAUGAAUGCCUGAAAAGCACUCGCAGAACACAAAGUUCCAGCAUAUGCCCAGGAACGUCUUCCACAAAUAAGGCUGUUUACCUCCAUGUGCUUUUCCUCUUCAAUUGUUGACAGAUGCCACUGGUUACAGAUUAUUAAACAGUAAUGGGAACUGG